rnacentral:rRNA from 1 species
AUGUCAACCAAUGUUGCACCACAUCUCAUAUAUCCUAUUAAUGUUUCUCGCAGCUCUACUAUUCGAGCUAUGUCGGGCAUGGCUUUCGAUGGCGCAUCUCUCAUCGCCGACGGCAAAUUGUGCGCCGCCACUGAAUCGGUCGUCGACGCCGGCACGGACAGCGGGUACCACUUGCUCGUUGUCCAAGGCUACUCGCGCACCAAGGAGAAAACUCCCAAGGACGAGUGGAUCGAGUCUCAUCCUUUUAUUGUUGGAGGCCGUCGCUGGACCAUUCACUACCACCCAAAUGGUUUUGAAGAUGAAGAAUAUAUAUCGCUUGUCCUUACCCUUGACGACGAUAUCGAGCCAAGCGUUAACGUUCAGUAUGUUUUCAGUUUCAUUGACCAGCCCAAGUUGCGGGUGCCAAAGCACAUCCGCCAAAGCCAACCAGUUUAUUUGGAUGAACGUCUUGAUGGCCAGUAUGAAUUCAUGAAAAUGGAAGAUUUUGAAAGAUCAAGACAUCUCAAGGACGACAGCUUCAUCCUCCGGUGUGACCUUGUUGUGUGCAAGCCGGGCGCGAACACCAAGGGGCAGAGCGCCUGCUCCGACGCCCGUCCGUUCACAAAAUUGCCAACGCCUGACUUGCAAAGCCACCUUGCCAAUCUCCUCCUGAGCUAG